rnacentral:rRNA from 1 species
GUGUCAGCAGCCGCGGUAAUACGGAGGGUGCAAGCGUUGUUCGGAAUCACUGGGCGUAAAGCGCGUGUAGGCGGCCUCCUAAGUCUGGUGUGAAAGCCCGGGGCUCACCCCCGGAAGUGCAUUGGAUACUGGGAGACUGGAGUACCGAAGAGGAGGGUGGAAUUCCUGGUGUAGCGGUGAAAUGCGUAGAUAUCAGGAGGAACACCGGUGGCGAAGGCGGCCCUCUGGUCGGAUACUGACGCUGAGACGCGAAAGCGUGGGGAGCAAACAGGAUUAGAUACCCUGGUAGUCCACGCCAUAAACGAUGGGCACUAGGUGUUCGGGGUAUUGACCCCCUGAGUGCCGCAGCUAACGCAUUAAGUGCCCCGCCUGGGGAGUACGGCCGCAAGGUUAAA